UGUACAGUGUCCUCUAAGGUAAAUGUGUACAGUGUCCUCUAAGGUAAAUGUGUACAGUGUCCUCUAAGGUAAAUGUGUACAGUGUCCUCUAAGGUAAAUGUGUACAGUGUCCUCUAAGGUAAAUGUGUACAGUGUCCUCUAAGGUAAAUGUGUACAGUGUCCUCUAAGGUAAAUGUGUACAGUGUCCUCUAAGGUAAAUGUGUACAGUGUCCUCUAAGGUAAAUGUGUACAGUGUCCUCUAAGGUAAAUGUGUACAGUGUCCUCUAAGGUAAAUGUGUACAGUGUCCUCUAAGGUAAAUGUGUACAGUGUCCUCUAAGGUAAAUGUGUACAGUGUCCUCUAAGGUAAAUGUGUCCAGUGUCCUCUAAGGUAAAUGUGUCCAGUGUCCUCUAAGGUAAAUGUGUACAGUGUCCUCUAAGGUAAAUGAGUGAAAACCAUUGAAACAGGAGCACAAAAUAUCUUGAAACAGACUUUGUUCAGAGUGCAAAAUACAUUUUUAAAUAGUUAUUUUUCUUCAUAUAACUUAAGUUACAUUUUACUUGUAAAAUGUAACUACUAUAUGAGGAGGGCAAGGCAAAUAAAUGUAAUACAUAUGGGUCUUAUUUCACAAAUACUGGACAGGUCAAGGUUACUGUUCACCCAUCCUAGACUCAAGGUAGCAAUUCAUAUUAUUGGUCUUUGUCCCUGUUUCAGUUAAGAAUCAAAGAUGGUAUCAGCUUAUGGAGUUCUCCAGUUACUACAACAAUGCACCGUUGUUGCCUAGCAAUCCGGCACGGUUAAAAAGUUGCUCCAUGAGCCUUUACAGGAGAGUCCGAGAGUCUGAAACAUGGGUGAAUGUAUCUCUGUCCACAUUGGCCAAGCUGGGGCUCAAAUUGGAAAUGCAUGCUGGGAGCUCUAUUGCCUGGAGCAUGUGAUCCAGCUGGAUAGACAGAUGCCAAGUGAAGGGGAAAUGACUCCUUCAACACCUUCUUCAGCUGACCAAGGCACUGGGCUCCAGGGCUUCCUGAUCUUCCACAGGAGGCACCGGCUCUGGGUUCACCUCCCUGCUGAUGGAACGUCUGUCUGUCGACUAUGGAAAGAAGUCCAAGCUUGAAUUUGCUGUUUACCCUGCUCACCAAGUUUCUACUGCUGUGGUGGAGCCUUACAACUCCAUCCUGACUACCCACACCACCCUGGAGCACUCGGACUGUGCCUUCAUGGUGGACAAUGAGGCCAUCUAUGAAAUCUGCUGGGUUUUUCACGCUCAACAGUUUCCUGUGUGUAUCAAGAAUGGUCCACCACCCAAAGGACAUUCAGCCAACUUGACACAACUGUGGGAAGGAUUGGAGUCAACAUGGGCCAGCAUCCCUG